rnacentral:misc_RNA from 1 species
CCUCGCACGUACACGCCGAUCUUUGCCUGACAAUGGGUGCGCCCGACGACGCGGUUUCGUCCUCCGAGGCUUCCUUUCACAGCUCCUCCUCGGGCUCCAGCGCAGCGCCUCUUUCCGAGGAUGACGACAUGCAAGAUGAGCUAGCGCGCUGCGCAGCCCUGAAAAGUCUCUCUGGCGCGCACACAGUCGAAACGGUCGAGGUCACCAAGCUGCGAUUGCAGCGGGAGCAGCGACUGCGACGGGUACUGUCCCAGCGUCACCUUGGUCAGCCCGAGCCCGUUCCGCAGAACGCCUUCUGCUGCACCCGCGCUACGCUGUCCGAGGAGGACACGGUUUGGCUGUACACGCUGACCAACAGGGCAUGCUUUGAGCGACUGAUGCGUGACGUGCACUCCACUGCGAUGCCGGCGCUGGCUGGCCAGCUUGACACGGUUCUCUCGCACGCGAACCCACUCUUUUACUUCAGCUAUCGAAUGCCCGUGAAGGUCGUCAAUAGUGCCGGCGACGCUGCCGCCACUUCUCUGCGGGAGGCACCGGCAAUGCGGCGCUGGCUGGAGGACACACCGCCGGUCCUGCGCAAGCGACCCGCGCCGGAGAAGGAAGAUGCGGGGCAACAGCAGCGCGACACCGAUGGAAAGUCGGCCACGGGAGCCUUGCAGAAGCAUCCCAAGACGUCCACCAGCCGCUUCUCCGCAUCUUCAGGGCUCGUGGCCCAGUCGAUGAAGACGUGGGAGGCGCAUCUGACCGCGACGCUCACCGGGGAGGGUGAGACGAUUGAGAACUUCCGGCACAGCCGCACGAAGUCGAGCUAUACGGACAAGAAGCGAUUUCAAGAGAAGGCGGCGUGGCAGGAGCACGUGCGCGAGGUGCGCAUUCAAGCGCAACAGCGAGACCGCGAGAUCAAACGUGCGCUGCGCCGCGGGGAAGUGGAUGAGCCGCGAGGAUGACAUACGCAUCUCUGUCUCUGUCCCUCUCGAUCUGCUCACACACGCUCCGGCGCACACGCGCGCAUCACUACCCUUUCUCGUGUGUUGUCGCGGCGGCCAAGCAGAGGGCUGUCUCUGUCGCCUUGAGCUGUGUGGCUGUGAGUGGUAGAGGUGGAGGUGGUUCGUGUACGUGUAUGCACGUGGUGGUUGCCCUCCCUCUACUUCACAAUCCACCUCCACAUUCUCCGCAUGUUCCUCUUUCAGUUGUUUUGCUUCUCUGCUGAACGAGCGGAUCGUCGAACUUGCGCAACGGAAAAAGGCUGAUUGAUGCGGUGCAGCGCACGGUGCCGCUCCGCGUACGCACAACAUGGCCGCUGCUAACAGGCCUUUCCUUCUUUUCCUUCUAUUGACAUCGGUGUAUGCGGCAGCUCUGCUGCCUCCAGCGGUGGCGACAUUCACUCUCCCCUAUCCUUUCUCCGUCCUCGCUCAAACUUCUCUGGCCCAGCUGAUACUGCUCCCUCUCACCGUACUCCGCUGUCUCUCGAUCGUUUCAACCAACGGUGCAG